GUCUGAGCAUCCGGAGAUGGACUUUUCAAGGGCAAAGAUAUCAUAAAUGGAACUGCCUGAUUCUCUAUGACGUAUAGAUAAGAGAACCCAAAGAAAAAAAACCGAAAACAUUUAUAGUUUUUGUUCAGGGCUGGAAAGUUUUAUGUUUCUGUAGGGAGGUUUGAACUAUCGUGCCGGUUCUUUAGUAUCUAGGGGAAAUGAGGGCCUUUUCUAGAUUAUGAGAAUGGCAGUGUGAA
rnacentral:misc_RNA from 1 species